CAUGGUAGCGACCGCAGCCGCCGCUAGGGGCGCUAGUGUCGUUAUUUUUAGAAUUGCGGACGAUUUUGGGUCACGGACAGGCCGACGUUUAAGGUCCAAGUACGCAUAUUUUGACCAAAUGUAUGCGAUUUUUUUUUUUAUGGUGUCGCGUCGUACACAUGUUCAAGUGCGCGUAUUUUGCAAAACUAGCAUCUGACCACGAAAGAUGAAAAAACGACGAGAUUCCUGCUACAAGGGUUGAAGAAUGCCUCAUCUCGAAGAAAAUACUGUGGAAGAUAAAUAUGAGAACUUGUUAUGACUGUCUAUGAUAACAUGUCAAUAACCUAUUCACAAUUAAUACUGGGAAUUGGUUAAAUCUCAUAAUUGAUGAUUGAUUCAUUACAACCGAUCAAUCAUCGAAAAUAAUUGGUUUUCGUCAUUUAUCAAAUCUUCCUGACUGUGUGCUUUAAUGUUUUAAUGCACAAAAAAUCUAGAAAAAACAUGUAGUUCUUUGGGUUUAUUUUGUACAUUGCACAGAAUUCAAUCAUGAUGAGGAACGAACUUGUAGUGCUUAUGAAAUGUAACAGACAAAACCAACCUUGUGAAAAAUAUUGUUAAUGCAAACAAGUGUUCCAGAAUUGUUUGUGUUCGCUUCUGAGAAAACAUCAUCAAUUGCUUGGUCGUUUAGCCAUUGCAACCAAUCUUUGAUUAUUUCAAUUAAUCGGACCACCACAAUUCACAAUCGUAAAAAGAUACAUUUAAAAGCUCCGUUAUGGUGUCGUAAAAUGCAUAUAUCUAGUAAGGAAAAUGAAGAAUUUUUUAGAAUCGGUGUCUUUUCUCUCUCUCUCUCUUCUCUCUCUCUCAAUUUAUUACAUAUAAUAUGCAACACAUGACGAAUGUGGCAACUGUUGAAAGUAUGUAAUACGACUCCUCUCCACGUGGAGUCGUAGUGGAUUGUAAAAUCGUGGUACCUACGACAUAGUAAAAUAUUUUUACAAAGAAUUGCUAUGACUGUUUAUGAUAACAUGUAUUACAAAGUGUAGCUAGAUACUGGAAACACAUGGGUUUGAAGAACACAGCAAAUGACACAAUGCAUCAAGAUAAAAUUCAUUUGAACUGUUUCAAACUCUGAAACGUAUUUGUCAAUAUCAUUUUCACAAUGAUUCUAAGCUGAUGUAUUUGGUCUUAGCGGUGCUGAUGUGAUGCCAACUGUCUUGUCUAUAUGUUUUAUUAUACACUCAAGUAUUUUCUUCACGUAUUUCUGAAACAGAUGGGAAACAUCCAGGACCAGUGAUGAAACUGAAAGAUAGUUAGACAAUGAAGUGACUGAAAAGAACGUUUUUAUGUGUAUGAUCCUCUUUGUGUGAGGCUUCAUUUCAAGUAUACUCUGAACAGAAGUGUCAAAUCAUGUAAUAUAUUUGGAUUAUGGAUAUGAACUAUUUACUGGAUUCAAGACAGAACUGCGACUUGAAUAUACAACAAGCAAUCAUUAUGGUUUUUGAAUAUUUUAAAUAUUUGCUCAGAUUUUUAUUAUCUUUAAAAAUAAUUUUCAAGAAUCAAAUGAGUGUUAUAUUAAUAUAAUUUCAUUUUGAAGUUUACACAAUGGUAAAGAGGAAUUUUGAGAAGUAGUUUUUGCCGAAAACCUUAGUAAAAGCAACAUGAUAAAAAAUUUACUUUGGUUCUUGAAUGCAUGUAAAUACACAUGAACAGGAUGAAGAAAUUGUAUUCUGAACUAAACGUGACAACAUUCAGUGAUACUAUAUGCAUAAUUGCUUAGAAGAAAA
rnacentral:lncRNA from 1 species